UACGGGGGGGAGCAAGCGUUGUUCGGAUUUACUGGGCGUAAAGGGCGCGUAGGCGGCGUGACAAGUCACUUGUGCAAUCUCCGGGCUUAACUCGGAACGGUCAAGUGAUACUGUCGUGCUAGAGUACAGAAGGGGCAACUGGAAUUCUCGGUGUAGCGGUGAAAUGCGUAGAUAUCGAGAGGAACACCUGCGGCGAAGGCGGGUUGCUGGGCUGAUACUGACGCUGAGGCGCGAAAGCUAGGGGAGCGAACGGG
rnacentral:rRNA from 1 species